rnacentral:rRNA from 1 species
CAAGUCGAACGCGAAAGUUCCCUUCGGGGAGCGAGUAGAGUGGCGCACGGGUGAGUAACACGUAGGUAAUCUACCUUUGGAUUGGGAAUAACAACCGGAAACGGUUGCUAAUACCGAAUAAUGCAGCGGCACCUAAUGGUGACAGUUGUUAAAGCGGGGGAUCGCAAGACCUCGCGUCUAAAGAGGAGCCUGCGGCGGAUUAGCUAGUUGGUAAGGUAAUGGCUUACCAAGGCAAUGAUCCGUAGCCGGCCUGAGAGGGCGGUCGGCCACACUGACACUGACAUACGGGUCAGACUCCUACGGGAGGCAGCAGUCGGGAAUUUUGGGCAAUGGGCGAAAGCCUGACCCAGCAACGCCGCGUGAAGGAUGAAAUCCCUCGGGAUGUAAACUUCGCAAGAACGGGAAGAAUAAGUGAGGGUUAAUAUCCCUUACGAUGACGGUACUGUUUGUAAGCUCCGGCUAACUCCGUGCCAGCAGCCGCGGUAAUACGGGGGGAGCAAGCGUUGUUCGGAUUUACUGGGCGUAAAGGGCGCGUAGGCGGCCACUGCAAGUCAGUUGUGAAAUCUCCGGGCUUAACCCGGAAAGGUCAACUGAUACUGCAGGGCUAGAGUGCAGAAGGGGCAACUGGAAUUCUCGGUGUAGCGGUGAAAUGCGUAGAUAUCGAGAGGAACACCUGCGGCGAAGGCGGGUUGCUGGGCUGACACUGACGCUGAGGCGCGAAAGCCAGGGGAGCGAACGGGAUUAGAUACCCCGGUAGUCCUGGCCUUAAACGAUGAAUGCUUAGUGUCUGGGGUUUUAUAGUCCCCGGGUGCCGUCGCUAACGCUUUAAGCAUUCCCCUGGGGAGUACGGUCGCAAGACUGAACUCAAAGGAAUUGACGGGGACCGCACAAGCGGUGGA